CGGACGGGUGAGUAAUGUCUGGGAAACUGCCUGAUGGAGGGGGAUAACUACUGGAAACGGUAGCUAAUACCGCAUAACGUCGCAAGACCAAAGAGGGGGACCUUGGGCCUCUUGCCAUCGGAUGUGCCCAGAUGGGAUUAGCUAGUAGGUGGGGUAAAGGCUCACCUAGGCGACGAUCCCUAGCUGGUCUGAGAGGAUGACCAGCCACACUGGAACUGAGACACGGUCCAG
rnacentral:rRNA from 1 species